rnacentral:lncRNA from 1 species
GAAAAUACGCGAAGUGCUUCCAUGCAAAUAUGGAUUAUUUGUUUUAUGUCUUAUGACAAGCCAAAAUUUGUUGGAAAAUAAGAGAGGAGAUCAGAAAAUCAAAAUCAUUAACUCAAAAAUCAACAAGGCAGCAGAAAUUUAAACUAACAUAUUCAAUCAGAAUUUUCAGUUUACAUGAAAUAGAAUUUCAAUAAAAAAAUAAAGACAUCACAGAAAAUUGUGAAAUUUUCAAUUCAAGAAACCAAAACCAGAUUGUGAAAUUUUC